GUUAAGUGCAAUCAUAAGUUUUCAUACUAACUUUAAUUGUUUGUCUUAUUUAAAAAUUUUUUAUAAUUAAUAUUUUUAUUGUUAUAAGAUGAUAAAAUAUAAAUAAUACUUCUUUAUAUAUGACUUAUGUUUUUAAAAAAAAAUUUAAAAAAUUUAUAUAAGAAGAACGGUUAAAAUUAUACUUAAAAAAUUAUGGUUGCGCUUAAA
rnacentral:pre_miRNA from 1 species